rnacentral:rRNA from 1 species
AAAGGUGAAAUUAGAGUGUUGUUGUUAUAUGAUAGAUUUAUAUUGAAGCUAAAAAAUUUUGAAUAUAAACUAGGAUUAGAUACCCUAUUAUUUCAAAAGGAGUAAUAAAAAAAUUAAUGAUUAAUAGUUAGAUACUUGAAAAUUAAAAGAUUUGGCGGUGAUUUAAUCUUAUUAGAGGAACUUGUUUUAUAAUCGAUAAUCCACGAAUAAUCUUACUUGAGUUUGUAUACCGUCAUUAUCAGGUAAUUCUGUUGAAAAAGAUAAAUUUCUAAAAUUAAUUGGUUGUUAAAAUUAGAUCAAGGUGCAGCUUAUAAACAAGUAAAAAUGAGUUACAAUAAAUUAUUUUAACUACGGAUUAGUUGCUAUGAAGGAGGAUUUAAUUGUAAUGUAAGUUUAAUAAGCCUACGAGAAAUAAGCUCUAAAUCAUGUACAUAUCGCCCGUCGCUUCC